rnacentral:lncRNA from 1 species
ACCACAGGCUGAUAAAAAGUCUUCUCAGUCCUUGCUGGGAGGUGAAGAUGAAGGAGUGGGUUUCAUUCACGCUCAUUUCUUACUGAAGUCUGCAGCCAUGCCCCGAAAAUGUUGGAUUGAAGAAACUUUUUCCAAGAGAGAAUGUGUGAAGUUUAUUCCAUCCUCUUGGAAUUUGCACAGGUAAACUGAGCGAGCGUUCAACUGUUUAAAGGUGCUUGACCAAAAGGAAACGGCAGAAUCGAAGUGUAUUCUGUUAUUAAAUCGCUGUUUUGUUA